CCUACGCACUGAGUUCAAGAUUUUGAUGAACUUUUCAUCCAACAGCUUCUCUCAGCACCUCGGGGUGGAUUCUCUCACUUGACGUCGGUGAAGUGUACGUCGCACGAUGAAGAGUUCAAGAGUUGGUUGAAGUAUCUGCUUGGCCCGCGUCGCUCCGGGCGGACCGCAACGAUUUCGCGGCUUUUGCUGUUCCCCUCCGACCGGCAACUUGGCCACCAGAUGGCUUGGAAACGAACGCUUUAACACCUUUAGGAGAUGAUAUUUCGUUGCUGUUGACACCGGCAAGUGACACCCCAGCUGGAACCACGGGCAAGAUACGAGCCAUGCGAAGAAUGCGGACGCAGAGCAACAUUGGAGCAACCGUACGCGUACGCGGUCUAGAUGUAACUAUUUUUACUAGUCACCACGUGUGACGAUCGUACCAUGUGUGCAGUGCACAUUGGAAAGCAAAAAAAUGCAUUUGCACACGUGGUCUUCCAAUCUUCAAAGGUAAGACAUAGAGGCAAUCGGCAGACGAAAACUUCCGCUCGGUUUAAUGACCCGACUGUCCUGCACGGUUCAAUUGAUGCUGGUCGUCGAUACAUCUGGUGGCUAGACAAGCGAACAUUGAGCACCGUGUACACUCAGUGGAAGAUCCAAAAAAUAUGCUUCAUGUUUCAACAAAACAAUUAAACUUAGAUUUGAAGAAUAAGUCACAUCUCCACUAAAAAAAAAACACUUCAUGAUGCACUCUUGCGGAAAUGCAAUGAGGAGGAAGAAAACAGGGGGCCGCAACUGCACAGUCAAUAUCAAAGGGAAAUCGAUGAAAGACUGAUUGCCCUGGAGGGGCACACUUUUCGCGCAUCGUAAGAGAAAUGCUA